rnacentral:lncRNA from 1 species
ACAUAUCUUCCACUUGCUGGGAGGGGCCAUCCUUUUUGCAUGGAAAUUUGGAUGUGUGGUAUUCUUCUAGUUAAUGCAAAUGCCACAAGGUAGAGAGUUAUUUCUUCCCUCUAUUGUCAUCCUUCUCAUUUGACUUGUCUUCCAAAAUAAUAUUCUUUUUAUGUUGUUAGUCUAGUUUCCUGUGAAUUGACGGAUGCUAUUGUGCCAUCUGGAACAAGCACAACCAUGUGUGAGCACUUGAUAAGAGUUAGACACGACUUGUUCACAAAUAAGUCCAGACACAGAAUGUGAAACGGACAUCCUCUUUUUUUUGACUAAAGAACGGACACCCUCUUUCAAACUCUGAAUUCUUCUCCUAGUUGCUUCUGUUUUACUGCUGUUCUGGUGAUUCAAACCAAAUAAUGUCUUCUUUUAAGCAUCAUAUAUAGCGAUAUAACUCACCUUUAGUAAGUUAUAUAUCAUAUUUGUCCUAGUAGUAAUAUGUUCUUCAAUUGCAACGCUGUUUUGGCCAUUGAAGCAUCAGAUGUUUUUGGUGGUUCAUCUUGUUAUUCAAGUGUAAAAGGCAGAAGCAUGAUAAAGCUGUGCAUCCCCAGGAGCAUAGAUGGUUUAUUUGGCAAUCACUUUUUUUUUCUUUUCAUGUAAUUGCAUAAAAUCUGCUGUGCAUCAUGCUGUAGUUUCGAUUUCAGUUUUACAUCUUUCUUAAUAUUGUUUUUCAUGUGAUUAUGCAUCUGUAGUCAUCAGUCAGUACACCGGCACAGGCUAGUAUUUUUAUUGUGAUUUUGGAACAUCAUUAUUUAUAUUUAUGAAUAUUUUAAUUUGAUAUAUUGAGAAAACUCUAUCUAAACAACAAGAAAAUUCCUUGCCAGCACUUUUUUAAAUCUUCUGAGAAUACAGUACACUUAUAUUUUUCCUCUUUGCCAACGAAGUUAUUACUUUGGGUGUGGAUACUUUUGUAAUUUGUUGCAGCAUGAUGCUUAUAUUUAGUAUGGAAGUUUAGUUUUUAAACUCUGGAAAUUAAAACCUAAUAAAUCUUUUUUUUCAUGGUUACUUACAGCCUAAGAACAUUUUUAAGACAAGAUUAGUAUGUAAGCUAGCUACAUAUUCCUCUAGGUAUGCUUUAGUUGUAUGCCUUAAUUCAUACUGAUUGGGCAGAUAGUGUAAAUCAACUUGAUUAGAACAUGGGAAUCGAAAAUAAAUCUAAUUAUUCUGUGUAUAUUUAUAUGUUCAGACCUUGUAUACAUAGAGUUACUAUGAACUGAACUUUGAUUUGUUUUUCCAGGCCAUGUGCGCCCAGGAAACAGAUUCAUGGAUGCCUUCUGGUUCUUAUCUUCAUAUUGUGUGCAAUGCAUGGAACGCAUGCUUCUGAGUUUUGACUAUUACUUUAAAAACUACUACUACUCUGAUACUUAUUAUCUAUUGCAUGUAGGGUGUAGAUGAAAACAUUAAAUCAAAUUUGACGGUCAUGGUUUCCUUUUUUAAAGAUUAAUGUGCUCAUGUUUAGCCAUUUUUUUAUUAUUGUGUGAAUUUAUUUAUUUUAGAAUUUUUAAGAUUAAUGUGAGGGCUUCUUAUUAGUAUAAACAAAGCUUCAGCCGGGAUUCUUCUACUGGCCUGCCAAAAAACUAUUUUGUAAAUUUACAGGAUAACAAUGGUGUAAUUACUCAGAUGAUGGCAUUUGGCCCUUAAGAAUUUGAAAAAUAUUUAACCAGUGCAGAUGUUAAAGAAAAUAUAGCUACUCCCUCCGUCCUAAAAUAUAAGCAUUUUUUGAACCUUGACAUGGUCUCCGAGAUACUACUUUGACCAACAAUAUCUAUAAAAAUAAGAUGUUUUAAAUAAAA